rnacentral:misc_RNA from 1 species
GAACAAACAUGUAUCCAUCUUCUUCAUUGCUUGGCCAAGACAAAGAUGCUUCUAUUGCGGCUCUCCCUGUAGAUGAGUUGAUUGAAAAGGCUGAUGGGUUUGCUGGAGUUUUUCCAGGUGAUUUUUUUAGUUGCUUUAUUCAGCGUUGACAUCCAUUUUCUUUGGUGAUUACUUUGUCAGAAUAUUACGAAUUGGUUGUCAUGUUGUUGCUGUCUUCUUCUCUUCAAUAUAGCAUCCAAUUUUAACACCACCAGCUUCGCUUGCUUUUAAUGUCCGUAAUUUUAUGCUUUUGUUUGUCCAAUUGGUUGGCAUUAUUUAUUUAUUUUUCCUGUCCAAAUGUCCCAUUUUUGCAUAACCAAUCACUGAUUACCUCUCUGUUUUCGACUUUGAAGUUUUGUUUAAAAAAGAUAAUCAUGCUUCCUUGUUUUUGACAUACUCUCUUUCUAUUUUAACAGAACAUAAAUACGAAAU